CCACCGCGGUUAUACGAGAGGCCCAAGUUGACAAACAACGGCGUAAAGAGUGGUUAGGGGAUUUACUAAACUAGAGCCGAACGCUUUCAAAGCUGUUAUACGCACCCGAAAGUAUGAAACCCAAUUACGAAAGUAGCUCUACCUAUCCUGAACCCACGAAAGCUAAGGAACAAACUGGGAUUAGAUACCCCACUAUGCUUAGCCCUAAACAUCGAUUGCACCAUACACUCCAUAUCCGCCCGGGAAUUAUGAACGUCAGUUUAAAACCCAAAGGACUUGGCGGUGCUUAACAUCCACCUAGAGGAGCCUGUUCUAGAACCGAUAACCCCCGUUAAACCUCACCCUCUCUUGUUUUAUCCGCCUAUAUACCACCGUCGUCAGCUUACCCUGUGAAGGAUUUACAGUAAGCAAAAUUGGCACAGCCCAAAACGUCAGGUCGAGGUGUAGUGAAUGAGGGGGGAAGAAAUGGGCUACAUUUGCUAAACAUAGCAAACACGAAUGUUGCAUUGAAACAUGCAGCUGAAGGAGGAUUUAGCAGUAAGCAGGAAGUAGAGCGUCCCGCUGAAACUGGCCCUAAAGCGCGCACACACCGCCCGUCACCCUCCCCAAGCCCCCUGAACUAAUCUAAUUAAAAGCCAACAACCCGCGAAGGGGAGGAAAGUCGUAACAUGGUAAGUG
rnacentral:rRNA from 1 species